CGUUAAAUGACUUAAUUGAGUUAUAGUAUUUUAUUAUUAAUAAAAAAGUUAGAAAUUUGGUUUUUUCUACUAA
rnacentral:tRNA from 1 species